GGGAGGGCGAGGGGAGGAGAAAGCGGCGCGCGGGGAGCCCGGCCGCGCUCAGCCGCUCCUCACCUGGGCCGCCGCCGCCGCCGCCGCGCCGUUUCCGUGUUGCUGCUGCUGCUGCUGUUGCUGCUGUAGAUACUCGCCGUGGCCGCCGCCGCCUCCGCCGCCGUCCACGUCCAAGGUAUGCCUGCUGCUCAUGGAGGGAAGAAGUGAGCUUUGGAGCGAGAGUUACAGAUAGUUAUGAGUUGCCACAGGGAUCCUCGAGAUUUGACCAAGGUGCAUGCCCACGUGGAGCCAGAACACCACUCACAAGUUGAUCCUUUUGUUCCAUGAUGUGAGUCGCAGAUAUCAAACUCAGGUGGCCAGGCC
rnacentral:lncRNA from 1 species